rnacentral:sRNA from 1 species
GAGUCCACCUAUGGAGACGCUCCAUGGCUGAUUGCAGUUUCUUGGUUACCCUGGCCAGGUGCCCGCCCGGACGCCCGGUGCGCGCAUAGCCGACAGCCGUCGCACUCCCAGGGAGAAUCCCAUG